GUUGGCUUUUAUGUGAAUACAUUCCAGAGUGUGGCUGGUCUGGAGGAGAAGUUUCACAGAGAAAUGGGAAAAAUUAAUCAGAAUCUGAAUGAUACGCUGGAGAAAUUAGAAAAUCAAGAUAUGUCCAGAAAAACAGGUAGCCAAGGGGUGAGGACAUCAGCAGCCCAGAAGAGUGACAGAACACAAGAUGCCAAUCACACAUUGAGCCCAGGAGGACCGCCAGCCAUACCCAAAUCACCAUCCAAGGACGAA